AGUCUCGAAUUGGAGUUAGAAAAAAAUCAGGACGAAACACAAUGGUUAAAGCAACGAAGAAGAAAAGUGGAAACGAACUGCCAAAUCCAGAAGCAGAAGAAAGAAAAAGAUUAAAGAAUUUAGGGUUUUCAAGAAACUUAUUAUCUCAAACUCCUGCAAAACCUUAUUCAACUCUAAAUCCAUCGAAAACUGUAAUCAAACAUCAUGGAAAAGAUAUAAUCAAGAAAUCACAGAGAAAAAAUAGAUUUCUCUUUUCAUUUCGUGGUCUUAUUUCUCCUCUUACUGGUGGAAAGAUCGGUGAAUUGAAAGAUUUGGGUACAAAGAAUCCAAUACUUUACCUAGAUUUCCCUCAGGGUCAAGUGAAGUUAUUUGGUACUAUUGUUUAUCCAAAGAACAGGUACUUGACACUUCAGUUCUCAAAAGGAGGGAAGAAUGUGAUGUGUGAAGACUAUUUUGAUAACAUGAUUGUAUUCUCUGAAGCUUGGUGGAUUGGGACAAAAGAUGAGAAUCCAGAAGAGGUCCGACUUGAAUUCCCAAAGGAGCUCAAAGAGGAAAAACAUGUUGACCAUGAUUUUAAAGGUGGUGCUGGUGCAGGACCUGAAGAAAAAUCUGGUGGAAUUAAACCUAGAGAGGAGAAAAGGAAACCACAAUCUCCAACAGAUAGCCUGGAAGAUGAUAUUGAUAUCUCUGACGACUCUUGUCCUUCACCUGGAAUAACUUUGAAAGAUGGGAUGGAGGUUACACCUGUUAGACAGUCGGCAAGAACAUCUGGGAGAAGAUUCAAUUUUGCAGAAGAUGAUUCUGAUGGAAGUGGUCCAACUGAUGUUGACUUAUCUGAAAUCAAGGGAAAGAAAGUUAUUGAGGAAACUGAAGAUGCUAAGACUCUUAAGGGCAUUCCUAAUCUUAAAAAGACGGCAAAAUCUAGGUUGGUGCUUCCUGAUUCCAGCAAUGAUAUUCCAGCAAAGGAUAAUCAGUCUUCUCUUUCAGUGUGCCGGUCUGAAAAAGAAUCUGAGAGUAAGCAAGGUCCGCUUGUGCAAGCUACUAUAGCAUCACUCUUUCAGAAGGUCGACACUAAGAAGUUAACUGGAAGUGUAGAAAAAUCUGCAACUGCAAAAGUUGCUGUGAAGAAGUCAGCGAAAAUCAACUUGAAACGAAAGGCUGAUCAAGUUGGGGAUGGAGGACCUAGAAAGAAAGGGACAGUGGCCAAGGAAAGCAAGGCUGAGAGAGGAUCCUCAACCAAGCAAAAGCAGCAACAGGUUGAAUAUGAAUCCAUAGAGGAUUCCUCAAGUGAAUCAGAGGGCAUCGAAGAAAGUGAUGAUGAUUUCAGCUGAAUUGCAAAAGCAUCACUUAAUGUAUGUGCCAAAAAUUUCCAGUAUGUGUGCAUUUCUGGGCUGAUUUUUAGUCAGGAAGUUCUCCUCACCACCUAGAUCUUACUGAGAAGCAGAUUCUAACACUUCCGACGCACUAACAUUCAGUUGCACUAACAUUGAAUCAACUGCUUGACAGGAUUAGAAGUUUCUAAUGGACUGAUUGAAAACAUACAAGUGAUGUUGCUGGAUGUUGGUAUCCUCUUUUUCACAAGGUUUCGUUUUGAAGACCAUGGUUAUCUUGAUUCUGACUUUCAUGGCCACCAUUCUGAAGGAGUAGGGCUCGAACUACAACUCCAUGUUCUUGCGGGAUGUUCUUGCUCUCCAUUUUCCUUGUUGCGGGGUUUUCACAAACCUUAAUUUUCUGCCUUAGUGUCGUGAGCAAGAUUUAAGUCGGUCAAUGUUCUUUGGCUAUCUGUGCUUUGGUCAAAUAAAGCCGAUUACUUAUUGCUAGGGAUAUAUAAUGGUUAUUAAAACGCUCAUAACACUUCUUAUCUCCACAUUUAACCGCUAAUAUCAUUGGAGUUAUUUAUUCAUAUUACACCGCAGCA